rnacentral:rRNA from 2 species
UAGGGAAUCUUCGGCAAUGGGCGAAAGCCUGACCGAGCAACGCCGCGUGAGUGAUGAAGGCUUUCGGGUCGUAAAACUCUGUUGCCAGAGAAGAACGUCCAGGAGAGUAACUGCUCUUGGAGUGACGGUAUCUGAGAAGAAAGCCCCGGCUAACUACGUGCCAGCAGCCGCGGUAAUACGUAGGGGGCAAGCGUUGUCCGGAAUUAUUGGGCAUAAAGCGCGCGCAGGCGGUUGUUUAAGUCUGGGGUUUAAGUUCGGGGCUCAACCCCGUAUCGCCCUGGAAACUGGGGAACUGGAGUGUAGGAGAGGAAAGUGGAAUUCCACGUGUAGCGGUGAAAUGCGUAGAGAUGUGGAGGAACACCAGUAGCGAAGGCGACUUUCUGGCCUAUAACUGACGCUGAGGCGCGAAAGCGUGGGGAGCAAACAGG